AUAGUACAACCACAAGAACUAUAUGACUCUGGUCUUGGCUAAUUAAUUAGAGACUCUAGUUUGAAGCGAUCUUACCAAAAUGGCAAGAGGGGCGGCAGCAGAUGGGGUAUAACCCGACCCUCAGACUGAUCUGCUCUAUGGAAGCUUCGCAGUCCUGAGAGAGGUUUAUGCUCUGCUAAUGAUCUGGAAACCUUAGCGGGCUGCUUCUUAUUAGAGAAUCUUUAUAAAGGCCUUGUAGUGUCCCUAUGCAGUCACACCUAGGUAGUGUGAUAAGUGCUUAGUCAGCACGGCAUGAUUGGGUCUAAAGUUCUUUUGAACUUUUACGCGACUUGUGGUGAAAGUGUACAAUGUCUGCAGAGUGUAAAACUGUUAUAACAACCGUGCUCACGGUCAAGAGCGGCAUGGACUCUCACAUGAUUAAUUUAUCAAAAGUUGAUUUAAAUUGAUGUUAUUUAUUGCUGUUAUGUUUAUUUAUGUUCAUGCUUAAUAUGGGUGAUAUAAACUUCUACUUAGUAAAUGCUAAUAAAACUUGACCAACCAAUUAAAAUGUUAAAAUGUUGUUAAACCUUAGCCUAUCCAUGAAUAGCCUUACACUAUACAUUCCCC
rnacentral:lncRNA from 1 species